AGGUCUACUAGACCUAGCUUGAUUUAUACACUACUUUUCUUUAAUUCACAAAUAAAAACAUUAAUACAAAUAUUAGCGCUAGAUACCCACCUCCUUUAUAGUACUGUAUAGGAAAAUAAAAAACUAAAAAAAUAUUAUACCCCAAUUACUUUUUGCAUCACGGCCUUGCAACAACCAACCUAAUGGUCAAUCCCGAAAUUGAAACGAGCUUAGAACAAACAGCUAAGAGCCCAAAAAUUUCUGUUGCAACAGAAUUUAAAGAUUUGAUCUAAGAAGCUACAUACUAGCCGCGUUCAAUAAUAGCUGGCCACUUUCAAAAUUUAUCAAAGUAAAUAAUUCAUAUUCUGUAAUCUAAAAAAAUAGGGGCCUAGCCCUAUUUUACCCCUAAUUUUAUAACACAAGCUACAUCAAUAAAUAAGCCUAACAGCAGCUAUUUAUAUAAAUCAUUAUAGAUAAUUAAUGUUUGCCGCUUAAAUAAUUAACUCAAAAUAGAAAAAUAGAAAGUAACUCAGUCUCUCCCACGAACUCAAUAUAUUAUGCAAGGAUUAGUAUUAAAAACAAUUAACCCAUACAAUAGACAAUAAACAAACACCAAUACCCUUAAAAUCUUUAUAAGGAACUCGGCAAACCAGGUCUUCGACUGUUUAACAAAAACAUUGCCUCUUGCCCACACCAUAAGAGGUUAGUCCUGCCCAGUGAACUAAGGUUUCAACGGCCGCGGUAUACCUGACCGUGCAAAGGUAGCAUAAUCACUCGCCUUUUAAUUGUAGGCUCGUAUGAAUGGAUAAACGAGGGACCAGCUGUCUCAUAAAAACAAACUAAAAAUUAAUCUUCAGGUGAAGAAGCCUGAUUUAUCUUAAAAGACAAGAAGACCCUAUAGAGUUUCACUUAAAAUAUGCCCAUUUUUAAAUUUUAAUAUUUAAAUAUACAUAAAUAAGUUUAGUUGGGGCGACUAAGGAACAAAUAAACCUUCCUUAACAUAAAGAAUAUAUUCAACAUUCAGAUCCUAAAAAGACCAUAAGAAAAAUAUUACCUUAGGGAUAACAGGCUAAUCUCCCCAGAGAGUCCAAAUUGACGGGGAGGGUUGGCACCUCGAUGUUGGCUUAAGACAACUUUUAAAUGCAGCAGUUUAAAUAAGUUGGUUUGUUCAACCAUUAAAGUCUUACAUGAGCUGAGUUCAGACCGGCGCAAGCCAGGUUAGCUUCUAUCUUUAAACUACCCUAUGUUGACUAGUACGAAAGGACCCUCCAACAUAUAUUUUAUAUACCCUUUGAAAACAUAUAAAAAUAAUUUAAUAUAAAC
rnacentral:rRNA from 1 species